UUAUUGGGUUAAUCUAACAAGACAGUCAGUGGAUACAAGAUCAUAAGUACAAAGCGGUAUCGAAGAUUAGCAGAUUGGGUUGUUUGGGGUUCUCUGUAACGUCUAGAGACCUACCGGCUGGGACAAAAAGGACUUCGACAAGCAGUCGAAGGGCAUCCAUAUAGAUUUACGGUGUAUUCUUGCAGUCGUUUAUAUUCCAGUAGUCAAAAACUGAUAGACUGCUUGACUAUUGGCGAAUCUCCAUACUACCUUCUACAGCUAGACGCCCGGCGCGUUCUCGAGCAGGAAAGCACGUAAUACGACAGCGGUAUCAAAGAUUAGCAGUUUGGGUUGUUCGGGGUUCUUUGUAACGUCAAGAGACCUAUUGGCUGGGGCAAAAAGGAUUUCGGCGAGCAGUCGAAGGGCAUCCGUAUAGAUUUAUGGUGUAUUCUUGUAGUCGUUUAUAUUCCAGCAGUCAAAAAUUGUUAGACUGCUUGACUAUUGGCGAAUUUCUAUACUACCUUCUAUAGCCAGACGCCCGGCACGUUCUCGAGCAGGAAAGCACGUUAUACGACAAAAGUGGUAAACCCGACGUGAAAGCUUGAGGUGGAAGGUAUUGGAUUUUGGUUGAUUUUAUCUUUAUUUUAUGGGAAACGAAAAUAAAAAUUUUGAAGGAUUUUUCGGAGGAGUUUCUGGUGGGGAUUCUUCUAAAGGACAAGGUAUGCACAUGGAUCCGUCUAUUGCUAGUAUGUUUCAAGCCUUCUCAUUAUCAAUGCAGCAACAGCAAAGCAAUGAUCGAAAGGAAGCUUUGGCAACCAAAGCAUUGCAAGCAGUGGUCAAUAAAAUUGAUCAAUUUGAUGGAAAGAAUAUUUCAAGGUAUUUAAGAUGUUAUGUUUGUGAAAUGGAAUUAAAUCAGAUUUUUGAGAAGAAAAUGGUUGAAUUAUUUGGACUUGCCAUGAUACCGAAGAUAAGAAACCACAUUACAUCGAUUACGGAUCGUUAUGGGAAUUCAUGGGAGGUUUCUUCACAUGCAUUGAAAGACAAAUAUUUCUUGGAAGAUGCUGAUCGCGUUACUAAGAAGCUGUUUCUAGAAUGGAUUGAACGGCCCAAUAAGAAUUUGCAAGCAACAGAGCUACUAAGGAAAUUUGAGAGGUAAUACUCUCAAUUAUCGAAGGUAGAAAAAUUGACAUUAGAGCCAAAGAAAGUUGAUCUAUUUCUUCAAGCUGCUGAUGGAGAAUUGCAAGGGAAAUUAGAACUUCUUCUUGAAGACAAAGAAGAAGAUGAAGGAUUGACAACAAAGUGGAAGAACGUUGAAGAUGCGGUGGGGUUGCUUACAAAAAGAGAAAGGAGGAAGGAUAGGAGCAAUAUUUCGAAAACAGUACAAGCACCCAAAGCUCCAGUACGUACAAUACCACCAACAAUGCCUACAGUUCAACCUUCGACAUCCUUAUCAAAGAAAGUAGAUAUGGAGAUGGAAGAAAUUAUACCAGGAAUGCGAGAUCUUCAAAUCAAAUUGGCAAGACUUGAAGAGAAUACUUCUACAAACAAUUCGAAGAAUGUUUCAAAACAAGGAUAUGUACAAAGAUGCAUUUGGUGUAAUGACGCUUCACACACUAGAAAAGAUUGCAAUGAAUUUAAUAAUAUGAUACGGCAGGGAAUUAUUUGCUGGAAAGAUGGGAAGAUAGCAUUGAAAGAUAGGGAGGAUCUUCUUCAAACCAAUUUUGGCAAAGGAAGAAUGAGAGCAUUGGUUCAAGAUUACCUAAAACAGCAUGAAACAACAGCACGAGAAAGUGCAAGUUAUGGUGUUAGAAUAGAUGAUGAAAUUGGUGGAAGUACGGAAACUGGUGAGUUUUGGGCUUCUGCCGUUUCUACAAUGCAAGAAGGGAAAUUACCUCGAGAAGCGUUAUUGAGGACUGCAGCUACAAUAUGAGGUAGAACAGGUUGGGAGGAUCCUGUUGAGUCUCUUUCAGUUCAUGCAUAUAUUGCUAAGAGCCAACAUGAAGCUUUGAUGGAAGAAAAGAGACGAGGAAAUUUUGAUGAUACGAGAGAAGGAAAUUCUUCUAAGAGGCAAACUCGAGGAGACAAGGCUCAGGAGGCAACUUCACAAGAAUUGCCUGUAAAGGAUACCUCAGCAUCAUUGGGAGAAAAAACAAAGGAGACAAAAGAUAAAGGCAAAUCAAUUGCUUAUAAGCUACUUUCAGACAUUGAAGCGGCAACAAAUUUGAAAGGGGUGUUGGAAGAACGUAUAUUAAAUGCUAAGGUGGAAUUCACAUUGAAAGAAGUUUUGGAAAUUGCAAAGAAGGAGUUUCAUGAUGUUAUCAUUGACAGCAUUAAGCGAAAGAGGCAAUUAAUGGACGAAACUGGAAUGAGUCAUCCUAUUGAUGCAAGAAUAUAUAGAGAUGAAGAAAAGGUUGAUAUUGGUUACAAGCAACCAACAAAUGAAAAGAAUGGGUAUAAUCAACGAGUACGUUUCAAAGAUUCUAGUGAUAAGGAAAUGGAAACUUUGAGCCAUUAUACUCGAAAGCAUUGGACAAGGGCAACUACUGAGGUAUUGGUGAAAGUAGGAGAUAUAGAUGAACCAAUUGUUGGUUUAGUCGACCAUGGUUCUGAAAUAAAUUUCAUGUCUAAAGAUCUUUAUAAGAAGCAAAAAUGGCCAAUUGAUAUGGAACAUGGAUGGGCAAUACGAGCAGCUAAUAACACACAGGGCGAAUUAUAUGGAGCUUGUCCAGAUGUCAAAAUUUGGAUUGGGGAUGUUACAACGGUGUCGUAUUACGUGCUUUCCUGCUCAAGAACGUGCCAGGCGUCUGGCUGUAGAAAGUAGUAUGGAGAUUCGCCAACAGUCAAGCAGUCUAUCAGUUUUUGACUGCUGGAAUAUAAACGACUGCAAGAAUAUACCAUAAAUCUAUACGGAUGCCCUUCGACUGCUUCUCGAAGUCCUUUUUGUCCCAGCCGGUAGGUCUCUAGACGUUACAGAGAACCCCGAACAACCCAAUCUGCUAAUCUCUGAUACUGCUUUGUACUUACGAUCUUGUAUCCACUGACUGUCUUGUUAGAUUAACCCAAUAAAUUUCAUUUACUCCGCAUACUCAAUCCUAUAGACACCCUUUUAAUCCUUCAAUCACAGACAUAACUCGAUUUCGUAAAACAGUCAAGGGUAAUCAAACCCACUUCAUUAAAAAGAUCCCGAUUCACCAUUACAACACUGACUUCAGCAACGAUUGUCUCAGUCUUCCCAAAACUAUAUGAAGAAGAAAAAUCCAAUUCUCCGUCUUUUCUUCCUCGACCCGAAGCAUGAAGCUCUUCUCCAAUCUCCUUGAUCUCUAAAAAACUCCAAUGAAACCGAACUAGUAACCUUGAAAAAAAAAGCUUGAAGCUAGCUCUUCGAUCCAAAAAACCCCCCAAAAACUUAUUCUCCCCCUAACCUUAUCCUCUGAAUUUCUUCAAUCUUCCAUCUUGGAUCCGGAAUUGGCUCCCAUCAUCAGAGCUUAGAUCCAAAAUUGGCUCCCGCCAUCAAAGCUUUCUCCUCCGUUUUUAUCUUUAAGAGAUCCAUUUACCGAAAACAACCUUCUUUGUAACGGCACAGAGAAUAGGACAGCCUGAAACAGAAUCGAAACCCCGUACUCGAGUCCACAUUGAGUCGCUCGACCAAUUCAGGUCUCAUAUUGGGUAAGAUGUCUGUAGUAACCUGGAUUUCCCGUAAUCAGACUACAUUGGGUUGCCCGACCAAUGCAGGUCUCAUAUUGAGUAAGAGGACCCGUAGCAAGACCUGGAUUUUCUCGUAAUCAGACUGCAUUGGGUUGCUCGACCAAUUCAGGUCUCAUAUUGGAUAAGAUGUCCGUAGUAAUCAGGAUGUUCCCGUAAUUGGAUCAAAUUGGUCCUUCGCGUCAGACUAGCUGAGGCCCGUAGUAAGACUUGGAUUUUCUCGUAAUUAGACUGCACUGGGUUGCCCGACCAAUGCAGGUCUCAUAUUGGGUAAGAGGACCCGUAGUAAGACCUGAAUUUUCCCGUAAUCAGACUGCAUUGGGUUGUCCGACCAAUGCAGGUCUCAUAUUGAAUAAGAGGACCCAGAUUGGAUUCUCGAAAUUGGAUCCAAUUGGCUCUUCGAACCAAGCUCACCCGUCAUGUGAAUUGGUCCUUUUCCUUCCUGCUAACUCCCGUUAUUGGAAUCGAACGGAGCAUUUCAGUAUGCCCCGGCUGACCGUAACGGGGUGACUGAACCUCACCACUCAGUAUUUGCACUAGAGUUGGUCGUUGCUCCCAAUAUUCGAGGUAACUGAAUAUUAAUAAAAGUCCCUUUUCUUUAUAUUUUCACGGUAUACUCGUGUUACAACACAACAUCCACCCCCUCUGAACCUAUGCAUCCUCCGGUAUGCACCAAUUUACCCAAUUGCUGUUAGAUUCAGAAUAUAUCCUCUACGUCUUUGUGUAGUUCGUCUUCGUCACCUUCAUUAUCUAAAUCACUUUCAUCUUCUUGCUGCGGAAUCUCUAUACCUUUAUUAAGGUCUUCCAUAUUCAUCUCCACAUGUCUUCGUUUAAAUAUUUUUACUCGCUUCUCUGCAAUUGGUAUUUUCAAUUUUGUACCAUCUAACUCCCGUAAUGAGUAAGUCGCAUUAUCAUGAACUGUUGUUACCACAUAUGGUCCAAACCAACAUUUUGAAAAUUUUUGCAAAGUACUAUGUUGAUUAUCCAGACUAUUAUCAUAAACAAGUACCCAAUCACCUUCCUCGAUUGCUUUUGGUCUCAAUCAAUGUUGCUUAUUGAAUCGCGCCUUGUUUUGUAACCUUGCUCUUUUUAACCUUCCCAAUGCUAUCUAGGCAUCUUCCGAUCUUUGCUCCAAUUGUCGAAUCCUAAUAGCCAGAAGUUCUUCUCUUGUCAAUCCAUCUUCCCAUCGUAGCAUACUCCAAGUAAGUACCUUUUCUUCAAUCGGCAUAAUUGGUUUUUGACCUGUCAUAAGUUCUACUGGCAUAUAUCCUGUCACCGAACUAUGUGUUGUUCGAUCAGCCCAUAAUACAAAUGACAAAAGCCGUGGCCACUCUCUAACUUUUCCAUUACAAGCUUUAACCAAUGCUUUCACAAUCAGUAGGUGACCGCGUUCGCUUUUUGCAUUCCCUUCUUGAUUAUAAGUAGUAGUCAGUGAUAAUUUAACUCCACAUCUUUCAAAGAACUUACGAACUUCUUGUACAUUUAAUUUUCCACGAUCUGUAGUGACUUUUCCUACGCAUCCGUAGCGGCAAAUGACAUCUUCAAGCAAAAACCUACAAAUCCCCUCUGUAGAUUUUGUCCUCAAUGCUCUUCCUUCUACUUGAUUUGAUAAAUCUUCACGAGCUAAAACCAAAUAUCUCAUCUGCCAUAACCCAACCGGCAUAAUAACCAAAUCAACAACCCAUUUAAAAUGAAUAGCUAGAGGAUACGUAGGAUGAAGACCAUCUCGAUGUCGGAUAUUAGAAUACGAUUGACAGAUUUCACAUGACUCUACAAAUGAGAGCACAUCUCGAUACAUAUUUUUCCACCGAUAUCGUUCUUUGAGUUUAGCAAAAGUAGCCCAGAUUCCUCUAUGCCCUGCCCAUAAACUAUCAUGAAAUUCCUUUAAUAAUUUUAGUUUUUCUUCCCUUUUGCCUAUCACUCGUUGUGGCAUUUCAAUUCCUUUCUUCGGUCUCUUCCAUAAGAAUCCAUCUCGAAGUAAAAAUCCAUAUGCUUUUUUUCUUAUUUGUUUGAAUUUUUCUGUAGACCAAUUCCUCUGCUUAGUCAAGGUAUUCAAGUAAUGACCAAUAUCCAAUAAUUCUCCUUCAUAAGAUUCUUCAAGAAAUAGCUUGCCUUCUCUGUUGAGAUUUGAUAUUGAAUAGAAUUUCUAUCCGACGUCAUCAAUGUCUUCAACCAUAUCGUCCUCCCUCUUGUAUCUUGCUCGAGAUAGCAUGUCUGCUACUAAAUUGUCCUUCCCAGUAAUAUGCUUAAAUUUCGGAUUUAGUGACUUAAUAUAAGCAAUCCAUCUCAACAUUGCAAUAUCUGGCGUUGAACAGUUAAUAAUCAUUCCAAGCAAUGGCAAGCAAUCUGUUUCAAUUACUACUACUGCCCCAAUCAAAUAGUCCUUUUCAGCUUUCAUAGCCGAAACGACUCUCCAAAGUUCUCUUUUGACUUGCGAAUAUGCACGCUGAUGAAUACUUAAAACUUUAGUCCCAAAUCAAACUGCAAAUCUAUUCCCAUUUGAAUCAUCUUGACCCACAGCCCAUCCAAUGGCAAUCGGACUAGCGUCCACAGUAAGAAUCACUGGUCUAUUGCACUUAUAAUCAACCUUCCUCAAUAUUGGAGGUGACAUCAAUAAUUUCUUCAAUCUUUGUAUUGCCUGAAUAUGCCUUUCUUUCCAUUUAAAUCGGUAACCCUUGCGUAACAGUUCAUAUAAUGGAUCCGCUAUGUGAGCAAAAUGAGGGAUCCAGAUUCGAUAAAAUACACAUGCACCUAAAAACCUGCAAACCUAUGUUAAAGAAUCACAAUCCUCUUUCAUCCUUCCAAUUGCAUCAACUUUAGUCGGAUCUGGUUUUCUUCCGUAAGAUCCACAUAAAUGUCCAACAAUCACAACCUCUCGUACUCCAAAUACGGACUUCAUACCCGAUAAUCCAAGCCGAGUUAAAAUCUUUUCACAAUCUUGUAUAUGAUCAACGACAUAUUUGCGACACCACCUCGUAUCUAAAGUUUCAUCCUUGUCUCCUUCUCUGCAUCCUUUUAUAGGAACAUCAUCCAGAAAAGGCAUAGUCUUUUCCGGAAUAAAAUCUCUCAAUACCUUAUUUAUCCCAUUCAUCAUAUGCGCAAUUGAGUUGGUCGUGCCUUGAGGAAGAGUGCACAUUCUAACCAAUCCAAGUGGUGUCCUCAUUGUUGUCAUAUCUCUACUUCCUUCGACAAGUUGAAAUUGAUCAUAACCUGAAUACAAGUCACCCAUUGAAUAGAUCGCCCUUCCAGCAAACGCCUCAGCAAACUCAUCCACAAUAGGUCCAAUUCUUGCAUUCCUGAUAGUUACUGCAUUCACCGGUUGCAUAUCUUGAAUAAAUCGUAGUGACCCAUUCUUCUUAGGUACCGUAAACCAUCGACUAGAAUACGACUCAAACGAAGGUUCCAAUAUUUUUAUCUUUAUCUUUUCUUUUAAUAGUUCCAACAAUUUAGGUAAAUGUGCCCUCGAUACUGGAAUCGGUCUUAGAUUCCAAGGUACAUGCGGUACAGUGAAGUUAACCAUAGGUGUUAUAAUAUUUGGAUCCACACAGUCAAUUUCAUGAGAUCCGAAAGCAAACGAUCUACCUUGUUUAGCCAACAUCUUUUUGAAGCAAGUAAUUUCAUUCGGCAAUAAAGAACCAUCAGAAUCAAUCUUCAAUUCUUCAAAAGUCUCUUUAGUAAACUGAUGUCCAAUACUCAUUGGAUCUCUUAAACUUGCUUCUUUUGAUGCUUCCCCCAUUUAUUCUUUAGAAUCUUCUGGUAAUGAUCCAGCAACAGGCUUUACCUUCUUAUCUGUCGUUUUAUAUCUCGUCUCUACAGUGACUUCUGGUGCUUGAAAAGAUUCAAGUAUGGUAUAAACCUCUCUUGAAUGAAUCUCAACAAUCUUAUCAUUAUCCCCUAAUCCAAUAGAUGUAAUCAAUUUCAAUGAAUCUUCCAGUCCAUUUUCUUCAUAAACACCUAAAAUCCUCUCAUCAUCUUGCAAUGUACCUAACUUGCGUAAUUGUCCUUCAAUAUCAUAUAAUCUUUUUCUUUCUUUUCUUUUAAAAUCAUCAACUUUUUUAUACAUAAUAUUUCCAUUCUCCAAUAUACUAAUAAAACUCGCAUCAAAGGCACCUUCAUUUGGCGAGAGUACUUCCUUUUUUGUACCUCCAUAAUCUCGCUUUACAGUGGUACCUCCCCAAAAUCCUUAAAUCCUUCAACAAUCUUUGGUAAUAGUUUCUCCCUCAAGCUAUCUCGAUUCCAUUCAUGGUUAGGAGGUACUGUUAGAAAUUGUACAGCUUCCCUCCUAUCCUCACUACGUACCCUUGCAUAAGCUGAACCAUCGUCAAGUACUUUUGUUUCUAUCUGUGUUGCCAUAAUAUAAGGUUGUCCUAAAAUCAACGGAUAAGAUGUUGUAUCUUGAACAAAGAAAUGUUGCUCCGUUGUCGUGUUGUAACACGAGUAUAUCAUGAAAAUAUAAAGAAAAGGGACUUUUAUUAGUAUUCAGUUACCUCGAAUAUUGGGAGCAACGACCAACUCCAGUACAAAUACUGAGUGGUCAGGUUCAGUCACCCCGUUACGGUCAGCCGGGGCAUACUGAAAUGCUCCGUUCGAUUCCAAUAACGGGAGUCAACAGGAAGGGAAAGGACCAAUUCACGCGACGGGUGAGCCUGGUUCGAAGAGCCAAUUGGAUCCAAUUUCGAGAAUCCAAUCUGGGUCCUCUUACCCAAUAUGAGACCUGUAUUGGUCGGGCAACCCAAUGCAGUCUGAUUACGAGAAAAUCCAGGUCUUACUACGGUUGCUCUUACCCAAUAUGAGACCUGUAUUGGUCGGGCAACCCAAUGCAGUCUAAUUACAAGAAAAUCUAAGUCUUACUACGGGCCUCAGCCAGUCUGACGCGAAGGACCAAUUUGAUCCAAUUACGGGAACAUCCAGGUUACUACGAGCAUCUUACCCAAUAUGAGACCUGAAUUGGUCGGGCGACUCAAUGUGGACUCGAGUACGGGGUUUCGAUUUUGUUUCAGGCUGUCCUAUUCUCUGUGCCGUUACAAGGAAGGUUGUUUUCGGUAAAUGGAUCUCUUAAAGAUAAAAACGGAGGAGAAAGCUCUGACGGCGGGAGCCAAUUUCGGAUCUAAGCUCUCACGAUGGUAGCCAAUUCCGGAUCCAAGACGGAAGAUUGAAAAAAUUCAGAGGAUAAGGUUAGGGGGAGAAUAAGUUUUUGGGGGAUUUUUUUUUCAGAUUGAGGGGGGUUUUCUGGAUCGAGGAGCUAGAUUCAAGCUUUUUUUUUCAAGGUUACUAGUUCGAUUUCAUUAGAGUUAUUUGGAGAUCAAGGGGAUUGGAGAAGAGCUUCAUGCUUCGGGUCGAGGAAGAAAAGACGAAGAAUUGGAUUUUUCUUCUUCAUAGAGUUUUGGAAAGAAUAAGGCAAUCAUUGCUGAAGUCAGUGUUGUAAUGGUGAAUCGGGAUCUUUUUAAUGAAGUGGAUUUGAUUACCCUUGACUGUUUUACGAAAUCGAGUUACGUCUGUGAUUGAAGGAUUAAAAGGGUGUCUAUAGGAUUGAGUAUGCGGAAAGAAUGAAAUUUAUUGGGUUAAUCUAACAAGACAGUCAGUGGAUACAAGAUCGUAAGUACAAAGCGGUAUCAGAGAUUAGCAGAUUGGGUUGUUCGGGGUUCUCUGUAACGUCUAGAGACCUACCGGCUGGGGCAAAAAGGACUUCGACAAAUAGUCGAAGGGCAUCCGUAUAGAUUUAUGGUAUAUUCUUGCAGUCGUUUAUAUUCCAGCAGUCAAAAACUGUUAGACUGCUUGACUAUUGGCGAAUUUCUAUACUACCUUCUAUAGCCAGACGCCCGGCACGUUCUCGAGCAGGAAAGCACGUUAUACGACAAAAGUGGUAAACCCGACGUGAAAGCUUGAGGUGGAAGGUAUUGGAUUUUGGUUGAUUUUAUCUUUAUUUUAUGGGAAACGAAAAUAAAAAUUUUGAAGGAUUUUUCGGAGGAGUUUCUGGUGGAGAUUCUUCUAAAGGACAAGGUAUGCACAUGGAUCCGUCUAUUGCUAGUAUGUUUCAAGCCUUCUCAUUAUCAAUGCAGCAACAGCAAAGCAAUGAUCGAAAGGAAGCUUUGGCAACCAAAGCAUUGCAAGCAGUGGUCAAUAAAAUUGAUCAAUUUGAUGGAAAGAAUAUUUCAAGGUAUUUAAGAUGUUAUGUUUGUGAAAUGGAAUUAAAUCAGAUUUUUGAGAAGAAAAUGGUUGAAUUAUUUGGACUUGCCAUGAUACCGAAGAUAAGAAACCACAUUACAUCGAUUACGGAUCGUUAUGGGAAUUCAUGGGAGGUUUCUUCACAUGCAUUGAAAGACAAAUAUUUCUUGGAAGAUGCUGAUCACGUUACUAAGAAGCUGUUUCUAGAAUGGAUUGAACGGCCCAAUAAGAAUUUGCAAGCAACAGAGCUACUAAGGAAAUUUGAGAGGUAAUACUCUCAAUUAUCGAAGGUAGAAAAAUUGACAUUAGAGCCAAAGAAAGUUGAUCUAUUUCUUCAAGCUGCUGAUGGAGAAUUGCAAGGGAAAUUAGAACUUCUUCUUGAAGACAAAGAAGAAGAUGAAGGAUUGACAACAAAGUGGAAGAACGUUGAAGAUGCGGUGGGGUUGCUUACAAAAAGAGAAAGGAGGAAGGAUAGGAGCAAUAUUUCGAAAACAGUACAAGCACCCAAAGCUCCAGUACGUACAAUACCACCAACAAUGCCUACAGUUCAACAUUCGACAUCCUUAUCAAAGAAAGUAGAUAUGGAGAUGGAAGAAAUUAUACCAGGAAUGCGAGAUCUUCAAAUCAAAUUGGCAAGACUUGAAGAGAAUACUUCUAUAAAUAAUUCGAAGAAUGUUUCAAAACAAGGAUAUGUACAAAGAUGCAUUUGGUGUGAUGAUGCUUCACACACUAGAAAAGAUUGCAAUGAAUUUAAUAAUAUGAUACGGCAAGGAAUUAUUUGCUGGAAAGAUGGGAAGAUAGCAUUGAAAAAUAGAGAGGAUCUUCUUCAAACCAAUUUUGGCAAGGGAAGAAAGCUGUACAAUUUCUAACAGUGCCUCCUAACCAUGAACGAAAUCGAGAUAGGUUGAAGGAGAAACCAUUACCAAAGAUUGUUGAAGGAUUUAAGGAUUUUGGGGAGGUACCACUGUAAAGCGAGAUUAUGGAGGUACAAAAAAGGAAGUACUCUCGCCAAAUGAAGGUGCCUUUGAUGCGAGUUUUAUUGGUAUAUUGGAGAAUGGAAAUAUUAUGUAUAAAAAAGUUGAUGAUUUUAAAAGAAAAGAAAGAAAAAGAUUAUAUGAUAUUGAAGGACAAUUACGCAAGUUAGGUACAUUGCAAGAUGAUGAGAGGAUUUUAGGUGUUUAUGAAGAAAAUGGACUGGAAGAUUCAUUGGAAUUGAUUACAUCUAUUGGAUUAGGGGAUAAUGAUAAGAUUGUUGAGAUUCAUUCAAGAGAGGUUUAUACCAUACUUGAAUCUUUUCAAGCACCAGAAGUCACUGUAGAGACGAGAUAUAAAACGACAGAUAAGAAGGUAAAGCCUGUUGCCGGACCAUUACCAGAAGAUUCUAAAGAACAAAUGGGGGAAGCAUCAAAAGAAGCAAGUUUAAGAGAUCCAAUGAGUAUUGGACAUCAGUUUACUAAAGAGACUUUUGAAGAAUUGAAGAUUGAUUCUGAUGGUUCUUUAUUGCCGAAGGAAAUUACUUGCUUCAAAAAGAUGUUGGCUAAAUAAGGUAGAUCGUUUGCCUUCGAAUCUCAUGAAAUUGGCUGUGUGGAUCCAAAUAUUAUAACACCUAUGGUUAUCUUCACUGUACUGCAUGUACCUUGGAAUCUAAGACCGAUUCCAGUACCGAGGGCACAUUUACCUAAAUUGGUGGAACUAUUAAAAGAAAAGAUAAAGAUGAAAAUAUUGGAACCUUCAUUUGCGCCGUAUUCUAGUCGAUGGUUUACGGUACCUAAGAAGAAUGGGUCACUACGGUUUAUUCAAGAUAUACAACCAGUGAAUGCAGUAACUGUCAGAAAUGCAAGAAUUGGACCUAUUGUGGAUGAGUUUGCUAAGGCGUUUGCUGGAAGGGCGAUCUAUUCAAUGGGUGACUUGUAUUCAGGUUAUGAUCAAUUUCAACUUGUCGAAGGAAGUAGAGAUAUGACAACAAUGAGGACACCACUUGGAUUGGUUAGAAUGUGCACUCUUCCUCAAGGCACGACCAACUCAGUUGCGCAUAUGAUGAAUGGGAUGAAUAAGGUAUUGAGAGAUUUUAUUCCGAAAAAGACUAUGCCUUUUCUGGAUGAUGUUCCUAUAAAAGGAUGCAGAGAAGGAGACAAGGAUGAAACUUCAGAUACGAGGGGGUGUCGCAAAUAUGUUGUUGAUCAUAUACAAGAUUGUGAAAAGAUUUUAACUUGGCUUAGAGAAGUUUAUCUUACAUUAUCGAGUAUGAAGUCCGUAUUUGGAGUACGAGAGGUUGUAAUUGUUGGACAUUUAUGUGGAUCUUACGGAAGAAAACCAGAUCCGACUAAAGUUGAUGCAAUUGGAAGGAUGAAAGAGGAUUGUGAUUCUUUAACACAUGUUCGUAGGUUUUUGGAUGCAUGUGUAUUUUAUCGAAUCUGGAUCCCUCAUUUUGCUCACAUAGCGGAUCCAUUAUAUGAACUGUUAUGCAAGGGUUACCGAUUUAAAUGGAAAGAAAGGCAUAUUCAGGCAAUACAAAGAUUGAAGAAAUUAUUGAUGUCACCUCCAAUAUUGAGGAAGGUUGAUUAUAAGUACAAUAGACCAGUGGUUCUUA
rnacentral:lncRNA from 1 species